CUUCUUCUGCUCCUCAUCGGCAGCCUCACCCUCCUUGAGCCGUUCCUUCUCAGCCCUCCUCAUUGCUUUCUUGUCUUUUGAUCCCUUCUUCUGUUCAGGAGGAUUCUUGAGAAUAAACGUUGUGAGUUUAUCUCUCAUGUCAACAUCAGAUAUGAAUCCACAGGCAGCACAUUUCAUAGUGAUCAUCUGCGUCUUUGUGAUGAUUAUCUCAGUCUCAGGGUUUCCACAUCCAUAGCAUUGAACAUAUUUUUUUAUGAAAUUUUCAAGAAGACCAGCCAGCUUUGCUGUCUCAUGAGCACCAUUUACAAGAGACGUCCCGGUUUUCUCAUCGAACUUGGAUUGCGCACCAAGCUCACAUCCAAAGUACUUGGUAGUGUAAGAGGCAGGUCUGCCCAAGGCUUUUGCAAUUUCCACCAUGUUAACUACAUUAGUCUUGAUGCCAUUACCUCUACCUUCAAUUUUAGUAACCAUCUUAGGCAUCUUAUACCUAUAGAAGGCAUCAUCACGGUUUGAGGCACCAAUAUUCUGCAACGCCAUGUUGUUAAUAAACAGAAAUACUGCAGUUCUGGUUAGAAAAGAUGGGUAGCAGUAGCAGUAGCUUCAAAAGGUCCUAACGCUCCUUGAGCAGCUGGGAAAGGCCGCAUAAAAUGGAAACCGAGAUCACGUGCUUUUCUAUGACCUCCAAGCAAGUCAAGAUGCAUGCAGCCAAUAGUCUCAGCACAACUGAUCUUUUUCCUCGACGUAGGACAAUACUCUCCAAGC
rnacentral:misc_RNA from 1 species